GUGCUUGCUUUGACAGCACAUAUACUAAAAUUGGAAUGAUACAGAGAAGAUAAGCAUGGUCCCGUGCAAGGAUGACAUGCAAAUUCUUGAAGUGUUUCAUAUAUUU